CUGCGAUGGCUGUCGUCAGCUCGUGCUGUGAAGUGUGGGUUAAGUCCCGCAACGAGCGCAACCCCUGCUGUCUGUUGCCACCACGAGAGGUGGGGACUCAGGCGGAACUGCCGGUGACAAACCGGAGGAAGUGGGGACGACGUCAAGUCAUCAUGGCCCUUAUGUCCUGGGCUACACACGUGCUACAAUGGCCGGUACAGAGCGCAGCGAGGCCGCGAGGCGGAGCGAAUCGCUUAAAGCCGGUCCCAGUACGGAUUGGAGUCUGCAACCCGACUCCAUGAAGUUGGAAUCGCUAGUAAUCGCGCAUCAGCAUGGCGCGGUGAAUACGUUCCCGGGCCUU
rnacentral:rRNA from 1 species